CACGUAGGGGGCGAGCGUUGUUCGGAAUUACUGGGCGUAAAGGGCAUGUAGGCGGCCUUGUAAGCCUGGCGUGAAAGUCACCGGCUUAACCGGUGGAUUGCGUCGGGAACUGCAGGGCUUGAGUCACGGAGAGGGAGCUAGAAUUCCUGGUGUAGGGGUGAAAUCUGUAGAGAUCAGGAAGAAUACCAAUGGCGAAGGCAAGCUCCUGGCCGAUGACUGACGCUGAGGUGCGAAAGUGUGGGGAUCAAACAGGAUUAGAAACCCUAGUAGUCC
rnacentral:rRNA from 1 species